rnacentral:rRNA from 1 species
UUGACCUCGGGUCGGACGAGAUUACCCGCUGAACUUAAGCAUAUCAAUAAGCGGAGGAAAAGAAACCAACAGGGAUUGCCUUAGUAACGGCGAGUGAAGCGGCAACAGCCCAGAUUUGAAAUCUGACUUUCGGGUCCGACUUGUAAUCUGCAGAUGAGUCUUCCGGCAACGCGCCGUCCAAGUGCCCUGGAACGGGCCGCCGGAGAGGGUGAGAGCCCCGUACCGACGCGCGCCGCGCCUCUGUGAAGCUCAUUCGAAGAGUCGAGUAGUUUGGAAAUGCUGCUCUAAUUGUGGGGUAAAUCUCCCAUAAGGCUAAAUACCGGCCAGAGACCGAUAGCGCACAAGUAGCGUGAGCGAAAGAUGAAAAGAGCCUUGAACAAGGGCGUCAAACAGCAUGUGAAAUUGUUAUGGGGGAAGCGCUCGAUGCCAGACGUGGUGGCGGUUGGUUACCCGGCGUUCUUCGCCGGCGCACUCUGCCGUCGCCAGGCCAGCAUCAGUUCGGACCGAGGCUUACCGCCGGCGGGAAUGUGGCUCCCCUCGGGGAGUGUUAUAGCCCGUCGGUACCGUCUCGGACCGGACUGAGGACCGCGCUUUUGCCCGGAUGCUGGCGUAAUGGCCUUUAGCGACCCGUCUUGAAACACGGACCAAGGAGUUGACCUAGCGUGCGAGUGUUUGGGUGCAAAGCCCUUACGCGCAGUGAAAGCGAAUGCAGGUGGGAGCUUCGGCGCACCAUCGACCGAUCCUGAAGUUUACGGAUGGAUUUGAGUAAGAGCACGUUGGGUCUGACCCGAAAGAAGGUGAACUAUGCAUGAAUAGGGUGAAGCCAGAGGAAACUCUGGUGGAGGCUCGCAGCGGUUCUGACGUGCAAAUCGAUCGUCAAAUUUGUGCAUGGGGGCGAAAGACCAAUCGAACCUUCUAGUAGCUGGUUCCUGCCGAAGUUUCCCUCNNNNNNNNNNNNNNNNNNNNNNNNNNNNNNNNNNNNNNNNNNNNNNNNNNNNNNNNNNNNNNNNNNNNGCCUUCAUCUAUUCUCAAACUUUAAAUAUGUGAGAAGCCUCGUGUUACUUAAGUGAACGCAGGCCUUUGAAUGAAUCAACUCUAGUGGGCCAUUUUUGGUAAGCAGAACUGGCGAUGUGGGAUGAACCAUACGGGAGUUUAAGGUGCCGGAGUGGACGCUCAUCAGACACCACAAAAGGUGUUAGCACAUCUUGACAGCAGGACGGUGGCCAUGGAAGUCGGAAUCCGCUAAGGACUGUGUAACAACUCACCUGCCGAAUGUGCUAGCCCUGAAAAUGGAUGGCGCUAAGCGUCCCACCUAUAGCUCCCCCUCGGGGUAGGAUCGUCGCCCCGAGGAGUAGGCAGGCGCGGGGGUCCGUGACGAAGCCUAGGGCGUGAGCCCGGGUCGAACGGCCCCUGGUGCGGAUCUUGGUGGUAGUAGCAAAUACUUCAAUGAGAACUUGAAGGACCAAAGUGGAGAAAGGUUCCAUGCGAACAGCGGUUGGACGUGGGUCAGUCGGUCCUGAGCCAUAGGGAAGUUCCGUUUCAAAGGGGCACUCGUGCCCCGUAUGGCGAAAGGGAAGCUGGUCAAGAUCCCAGCACAAGGAUGUGGGUUUUACGCGGCAACGCAACCAAACGCGGAGACGGCGGCGGGAGCCCAGGGAGGAGUUAUCUUUUCUUCUUAACGGUCCAGCGACCCUGAAAUCGGUUUGUCCGGAGAUAGGGUUCAGCGGCCGGAAGAGCCUGGCAGUUUUGCCACGGUCCUGUGCGCUCUCGACGUCCCUU